rnacentral:lncRNA from 1 species
UGGACGAUUAUUUGAGCAGCAGUAACAGUCAUACUUGUAAUCUUCCAGUAAACUGUGCACAAAGUACAGUUGAAUAAUAGAGUGCAAAAUUUUUAUGUCCAUAAAGAUCAAUUGCUUAACACAUUGAAGGUUUUUUAAAAAAAAAAAAACUUAUUAAACUUGUUUGAGUUGAAGUAAAAGGGCAUACCUUUUAGUUUUUUCCGUAGAAGUUGGAUGUUUGUUUGAAUAGAGCCAUAUUCGUUUCUUUUAAAGAGAGCAAAAAGAAAAGUUACAACUGUUCAGAUUUUGUUUGAGGCACACGUUUAUCAAGGAGGUUAGUUGGAGGUGACGACCAAUCAUAAAAGCAGGUGAAGCAGGUUAGUUGUAGGGUUGUAGGAAAAUCUGAUAAUUAAAUAGCAACAAAGUUGGGGGUAUUUGAGUACCUGUUGGCGUAUGUCCAGUUUGUGAGUAUUGGAGACGAGGACUAUUCGCUAUGGAUUUAAUAGCACAAUUGAGAUGGGUGUCUAUCCGGUUGCAUUCUGCCAAAAAAAAAAGGAAAGAGAAGACUAACGAGUAGAAUACUUUUGAUUCAAAGGUAGUAUCUUUUAGGAGGAGUAACAAGGCGUUACUUUUGAUUCAAAGGUAGUAUCUUUUAGGAGGAGUAACAAGGCGUAUCUUUUGCGCUUGUCAUGUUUGUGAGAGUUAGCGAUGAAAAAUCUUCACUAAAGAUUUAAUAGAAAGAGAUUGGUGUCUGCCCAGAUGCAUGUGUCUAGUUUCGUUUAUCCAAUUUGAGAGUGUUGGAAGUGAAAAGACUUCCUAAGGUUGGUGCAACACGCGAUGUUAUCUAAAUUUGUGAAUUGCAGUAAAAGCAACUGAUAGUGACAGCAAUCUGUGGAGAAACACACUCAAACAGAGUGAGGAAGAUGAUGUCUACAGGUUAAUUGAGUCAAUUCAAAUUUCUUCAAAAGAAUUUUUCUAAAUA